GUAGGUGGCAAGCGUUGUCCGGAAUUAUUGGGCGUAAAGCGCGCGCAGGCGGUUCUUUAAGUCUGAUGUGAAAGCCCACGGCUCAACCGUGGAGGGUCAUUGGAAACUGGAGAACUUGAGUACAGAAGAGGAAAGCGGAAUUCCACGUGUAGCGGUGAAAUGCGUAGAGAUGUGGAGGAACACCAGUGGCGAAGGCGGCUUUCUGGUCUGUAACUGACGCUGAGGCGCGAAAGCGUGGGGGGAGCAAACAGGAUUAGAUACCCUGGUAGUCCACGCCGUAAACGAUGAGUGCUAAGUGUUAGGGGGUUUCCGCCCCCGUUAGUGCUGCAGCUAACGCAUUAAGCACUCCGCCUGGGAGUACGGCCGCAAGGCUG
rnacentral:rRNA from 1 species